GGAGUUGACCAGACAAUCGCUGUCCGACCACUAAAGCGGAAUCUGGAAUGAUUCGUUUGGGUUACUGCGAAAACAGGAACGUUUCAGUGGUCGGAGGGAGGAAAGUCCGGGCUCCACAGGGCAGGGAGCCAGGUAACACCUGGGAGACGUGAGUCUACGGAAAGUGCAACAGAAAAUAUACCGCCGGUUCUCCGGUUUUCCGGGAACAGGUAAGGGUGCAAUGGUGCGGUAAGAGCGCACCGCACCUGUGGUAACACAGUGUGGCAGUGCAAACCCCUCCUGGAGCAAGACCAAAUAGGAAUCCCUUACUGUUGCCCGCAGUUGGAUUCGGGUAGGUCGCUGAAGAUACAUGGUGACAUGUAUCCUAGAUGAAUGAUUGUCCUUGACAGAACCCGGCUUACCGGUCGACUCCCUCU
rnacentral:RNase_P_RNA from 1 species